UUAUUUCUGGCUUUAAUCAGGGCUUGCUUUUGGGAAAUUGAUUAAAGUUAGCGAUAGGAAACUUAAUUAAGGUACCGUCUCGCCGUGCUAGACACCGAGGCGGUAUUUUUAU
rfam:Lactobacillus manihotivorans DSM 13343 = JCM 12514 strain DSM 13343 NODE_40, whole genome shotgun sequence.